rnacentral:rRNA from 1 species
GUUGACCUCGGAUCAGGCG